GGUUGAUCCUGCCAGUAGUCAUAUGCUUGUCUCAAAGAUUAAGCCAUGCAUGUCUAAGCACAAACCUUUACACGGUGAAGCUGCGAAUGGCUCAUUAGGCCACCCAUGAUUUAUUAGAUUGUACAAUCCUACUUGGAUAACUGUGGUAAUUCUAGAGCUAAUACAUGCAACUAAGCUCCGACCCCUCUGGGGGAAGAGCGCGUUUAUUAGAUCAAAACCAAUCGGUUGCCUUCACGGGUGCCGUACGUUUGGUGACUCUGGAUAACUUCGAGCUGAUCGCACGGCCUCGCGC
rnacentral:rRNA from 1 species